AAGACCACUAGAAGAAGAUGAAGAAUGUGCAUGUCCCUGGUUCACUGACCAUCCGUUUCCUCUACUCCUCCCGGAGCCACACAUCUCACAAACACUCUCCCAACCAGAAUUGUCAAACGUACAUGACUGGCAUCUCCAGAUACCAGGUCCUGCAAUCCCAUUCUGUCCUCUCCCCACUCUUCCUCUCCCCGUAAUCCUCCUCCUCCGAGACCCAACCAUACUACUCAGAAACCUCAACGGCCACGUCACCGCUCUAGCGACACCUCUAACCACCAUAGCCACAGGAUCAGACCCCGAGUAAGACCUCUUCAUCUUCAUGUAAAGAAUCCCAGCAAGAAUCCCACCUAAAUGCCCAAGAAACGAAGCCCUCGGCACAAACAUCUGCACCAGAACCAGCUCAGCCCAAGCAGCAUACUUCGUCGGCACUAGUACCCCGUACACGCUGGUGUAAUCCUCAGCCUGAGCAUUGAGAACAACCUUCAAAGCAAAGAGUACUCCCGAGAAUCCCACAGAGUACUCGUGGUAAUACGCUCUCCUGUAGUCAAAUAAGACAUGCAGGGACUUGGCUAACAGCAAUGUGACUCCUUGUGACAUACCGAGAAGCGUAACGACCAUAGAAGCAAACUGUGUGCUUCCCAUGGAUGUCUCCAGCUUGAUUCCUUUCCAGAGAAGAGACAUCAUGUUGUAGACUAGGUGAGGCUCGUUGAGAUGGUAGAACGCUGAUAGAAAGAAGCGUUUCAAGUCCUUGUGCUGUUCAGCGAGGCCACAACGGUUCCUCCAAUCUUCCCGAAACAAGUGGUGAGUAUGACAAGAAGUAGAAGUCCCCACGAUUGUGCUCCUCUGAUCGUUGUUACAUCGGUUUUUGAGAGCGCUAGACGCAAAAUAAAGGUCUUCUUUAGGAGUCACUAUAGCUACAACAAACGCCCCGAACAGCGCGUGUAUCCCAAUAGUGUCCGUCACAAAACUCCCCGCUAAAACCAAGGUUAGAGUGACACAGACAUAGAGUUCCUUCACAGGCUCUCCUUCGGGGGACAGCGUCUAGCCAUAUAACCAAGGAGAGGUUUGAUUGCCACAACUGCAAAUAUCACAAAACCAGAUCCAGAGAGAAGAACCCAAAGAGGUACAAGAGGAGAACUGUCAUCUCCCGAGAGAGCAAUCGCAAGUGCGAGGAGUAUCCAAGCUGCGAUAUCGUUCACUCCCGCUGCAGACAUAGCCAUACGUCCAAUGUCGGUUGUUAGAAGCUUUAGCUCAGCUAGGAUACGAGCAAGCACAGGGAAGGCGGUGAUUGAUAAGGCAACGCCCAUGAAACAAGAAAAACAGAAGACCGAUGUUUGCGAGAGUGUCUAAAACGGUCAGGCUCUUGUCUGGGAAGAUGGUGUCAAUGUACACCUUGCUUCGUCCCAGAGCAGUAGGUCCAAGCAGUAUCCCUCCCUACGGAACCAUUGCAUUGCCAAGCGAGGGAUGAGACUUGGCCAAGAGGAGAAAAGGAAAACAAGAUCUAAGAUCUAUUCUGCUACGUCUCUGUAAUUCAAAAACAGUAUCCACUUCAAGAAGUGAGGAUAUAAAAGGGAGCAACAGAAAACUAUUUAUGUCAACAGUGCUAAUUAUAGGAAGAAGAGACUGAGGACAUACCAGCUCCAGGGUAAGCAUACACCUUGCACCUUUUCUAUUUAUAGACUAUCAAUUACUUAACUUCCAACCACAUUGCAUCUCUCCUUCACAGACAUGAACUCCCUACACUCCACCAUCUCUGUUAUGUCAGCUUGUCCUAAUUUUACAAGCACUUGUACAUGUCUCCUGAAAAAAACAUCAACCAGUUUCACUUACAUCAAUGUAUAUGCAUUGGAUAGAUGAUAUGAAAUACACAAUAUUUCUUGAGAUGCAUUAAAAGGGGUAAGAACAACUCACAACAUUGUGGAGAAAGAAGUCAGCAUUGUUCCUAGCCGUGUCAUCUACAUUCAAAAUUGGUGAUCCCUUUCUCAACGCAGAAUUUUGCUAUAGUUUCUCCAACUUUAUUUGCACCUCCUAAUCAAUUCCAAAGCAGUUUAACUUUAGACAAUGUUUGUCUCAUUCAGCCUUACAGAAUCAAGAUAUGUAAAGCUAACUGAAGCUAAAGGUCUCAUGCUAAAUCAGCAGGUAUAUUCUGUAGACAGGCAGGGGUAAUGAAAAACUUACAAUGGUGGGAGUAGCUCUGUUGUCGCCAAACUCCUCAGAGAUCGGAUUCUGGUUUUAGUGACCCGAAAAUUUAAAAUAUUCUUAAAGCAGGAGAUUCAAUAAUGUAUGAUCAAGCAUGUGGUUUAGUUUGUGAAACUAUACACUAUUCGUAACUUCACUAUAAAAACAUAGUUUUUAUCUUCCUAUAAGCACUUAAUUUCAUCAGAAAGAUUCAGUGUUUCCCUAGAAUUAGACCCAAGUACAAGAACAUUUACUUGCAAUAUAGACCCAUACACAUAGAACCAAAUCUUCAACAACAGAAGAGAAGAGACAGAUUUAAGAAACGCCACUAAGCUCUCUAGUCAUAAGCUAAUGCAAUGAACGACCCAGCUUAAGCUUCACUCACAAUUCUUCCUCAGCUCUAAGAAAGCUCCAGAGAUUAACUAAACCUCUCUACUCUCCGACGCCGCAGCUCAUCUAAAGGAAGACCACUAGAAGAAGAUGAAGAAUGUGCAUGUCCCUGGUUCACUGACCAUCCGUUUCCUCUACUCCUCCCGGAGCCACACAUCUCACAAACACUCUCCCAACCAGAAUUGUCAAACGUACAUGACUGGCAUCUCCAGAUACCAGGUCCUGCAAUCCCAUUCUGUCCUCUCCCCACUCUUCCUCUCCCCGUAAUCCUCCUCCUCCGAGACCCAACCAUACUGCUCACAAACCUCAACGGCCACGUCACCGCUCUAGCGACACCUCUAACCACCAUAGCCACAGGAUC
rnacentral:lncRNA from 1 species